CGCCGGCGACCGGCGCACGGGUGAGUAACACGUAUGAAACCUGCCCGUAGCAGGGGGAUAAGCGGAAGAAAUUCCGUCUAAUACCGCGUAACAACCCAUGGAGGCAUCUCUGUGGGUUUAAAGGAAGCGAUUCCGGCUACGGAUGGUCAUGCGUCGCAUUAGCUUGUUGGCGGGGUAACGGCCCACCAAGGCGACGAUGCGUAGGGGUUCUGAGAGGAAGGUCCCCCACACUGGUACUGAGACACGGACCAGACUCCUACGGGAGGCAGCAG
rnacentral:rRNA from 1 species